rnacentral:rRNA from 1 species
GAUGAACGCUAGCGGCAGGCCUAACACAUGCAAGUCGAGGGGGUAGAACACUUCGGUGUUUUGAGACCGGCGCACGGGUGCGUAACGCGUAUGCAAUCUACCUUGUACAGGGGAAUAGCCCAGAGAAAUUUGGAUUAAUGCCUCAUAGUAUAUAACCUUCGCAUGUUGGUUAUAUUAAAGUUUAGGCGGUACAAGAUGAGCAUGCGUCCCAUUAGUUAGUUGGUAAGGUAACGGCUUACCAAGACGAUGAUGGGUAGGGGUCCUGAGAGGGAGAUCCCCCACACUGGUACUGAGACACGGACCAGACUCCUACGGGAGGCAGCAGUGAGGAAUAUUGGUCAAUGGUCGCAAGACUGAACCAGCCAUGCCGCGUGCAGGAAGACGGUCCUAUGGAUUGUAAACUGCUUUUAUACAGGAAGAAACCCUCCCACGUGUGGGAGCUUGACGGUACUGUAGGAAUAAGGAUCGGCUAACUCCGUG